CCUACUCCUACGGGAGGCAGCAGUAGGGAAUCUUCCGCAAUGGGCGAAAGCCUGACGGAGCAAUGCCGCGUGAGUGAUGAAGGUUUUCGGAUCGUAAAGCUCUGUUGCCAGGGAAGAACGCUUGGGAGAGUAACUGCUCUCAAGGUGACGGUACCUGAGAAGAAAGCCCCGGCUAACUACGUGCCAGCAGCCGCGGUAAUACGUAGGGGGCAAGCGUUGUCCGGAAUUAUUGGGCGUAAAGCGCGCGCAGGCGGUCAUUUAAGUCUGGUGUUUAAUCCCGGGGCUCAACCCCGGAUCGCACUGGAAACUGGGUGACUUGAGUGCAGAAGAGGAGAGUGGAAUUCCACGUGUAGCGGUGAAAUGCGUAGAUAUGUGGAGGAACACCAGUGGCGAAGGCGACUCUCUGGGCUGUAACUGACGCUGAGCGCGAAAGCUAACCAGCG
rnacentral:rRNA from 1 species